AGAUAAUGAGCGGAGGGGCUGCAUGACUGGGGGAAGGAAUAGUCCCUGGAGAAGAGGUUAAAUAAAAUGGGAAUCAGUUGAUCUUACCUGAUUGGGGG